rnacentral:rRNA from 1 species
UGGGGAAUUUUGGACAAUGGGGGAAACCCUGAUCCAGCCAUCCCGCGUGUGCGAUGAAGGCCUUCGGGUUGUAAAGCACUUUUGGCAGGAAAGAAACGUCAUGGGUUAAUACCCCGUGAAACUGACGGUACCUGCAGAAUAAGCACCGGCUAACUACGUGCCAGCAGCCGCGGUAAUACGUAGGGUGCAAGCGUUAAUCGGAAUUACUGGGCGUAAAGCGUGCGCAGGCAGUUCGGAAAGAAAGAUGUGAAAUCCCAGAGCUCAACUUUGGAACUGCAUUUUUAACUACCGGGCUAGAGUGUGUCAGAGGGAGGUGGAAUUCCGCGUGUAGCAGUGAAAUGCGUAGAUAUGCGGAGGAACACCGAUGGCGAAGGCAGCCUCCUGGGAUAACACUGACGCUCAUGCACGAAAGCGUGGGGAGCAAACAGG